CAACAUUGUAAACCAUUUGCUCUGAUAGGGUUUUGCCCUCUUUCAAUAGUGAUUGACAUGGUCUCUUCCUCUUCCUCUGCCGUCUCUCUCAUCCGCUCAUCUUCGCCAUGUAACCCGCUUCUGCAGCUGCCUCGCAACUUGCUUCCGCUUCUACUGCGCCGCGCAACCCACUUCCCCGCCGUCGCGCAACCCGCUUCCCCGCCGCCGCACAACCCGCUUCCCCAGCUUUCUAUCAGAAUGUAAUUUCAAUUCGAAAACAGUUGGAACAUUUAAAAGAAUACAAAAAUAGGUUGGAGAGGAUUCUUGGUAAACAGAAGAUCAUAUGAAGAACGCUAUAUUUUUCAGAAGUGCAGGGACAAAUGACUUUGUUAUUAAUUAUUUUACAUUGCCAAUACGAAGAAAGAAAGAGGAUAAGUUAUUGUUUGGAACGGUGUAGAAUUGAAGGAAGUAAUUGGUAUCCAGAGGAAGAGAAAGAAGAGGACAGAGGGUAAGUUAUUGUUUUGCAGCAUGAAGCAGCAGCUACCUGGCGUUGAUGCUAAAUUGCAGAAGAUUGCAGAUUCUACGAAGUUAGUUAUUGUCAUCAGAUGAUUGAUGGUUAUCUGAUAUGCAAUGUAACAGUCAUACGAGGUGAAAUCAAGGGGCAUUGAAAUAUUCUGUAAGAGUUGGCUUCCUGAGGCAUCCAAGCCAAAAGCAACAGUGUUUUUCUGUGAUGGAUAUGGAGACAUCUGCACUUUUUUCUUUGAAGGCAUGUUCCUGGCAUAGCUAGGAAGAUAGCAUUAGCUGGAUACGGGGUCUUUGCUAUGGAUUAUCCUGGAUUUGGCCUUUCACAAGGCCUCCAUGGCUAUAUCCCUAGUUUUGAUGGUCUUGUUGAUGAUGUCAUUGAACAUUACUCAAAAAUCAAAGCUGUCUUAGGCAAUUGCAUAACUAGAAUUAAAGCAUCAAACGUAUGAUGUGCAUUAGGAAACUAUGAUGUGCAGCAACCCCAAGGGUAACAUUAACAUUGCAGAGUUGAGAAAGGCCGCAGAAACUCACAAGGACAACUUAUCAGCACAUAUGAUAAAAUUUGCUUCCUAUAUAUUGAUACUUGUAUAUUCCAGUUAUAUAAGCAAAUUGACAUUAUUGUCAAACUUUGAGCCUUUUUUAUACUAAGUUUGGUUAUGAUUUGAUUGUAGGCAACGUAUCCCUCAACCUAUGAAUGUACCUACGGGCUUAGAUUAUUCCUGCGAGGCUGCGACCACUUUGAGCCUUUUCUUACUUUUCAUGAGAUAUACUUUUCUUCGAGUCUUUUCUAUUAUUCUUACUUUUCUUACUUUUCAUGAGAUAUACUUCAGUUCUAUGAAUGUACCUACGGGCUAGAUUAUACUUCAGUUCUAUUUUCUUUUAAAGGAAAAUGGAUGAUUGUAGGCUCAAUGUCAACAAUGAUGAAUUCUGUCUUAAAUAUUACAACCAGAGUGCAUAUAAGCUGUUAUCCAAAGACUUUGCGAAUCCUUGCAGCAUAGACCAAUAUGCUAUGAUAUGUGCACGACAGUGAUGCAAUAUUAGAAUAUUUCUAAAAAAGUCUUGCCUCUUCCUCCUCCCUCCAGUGAAUAAUAAUUGUGUUAUUUUAUUUUAUGAUUGAUGUUGUA